rnacentral:rRNA from 1 species
UACGUAGGGUGCAAGCGUUGUCCGGAAUUAUUGGGCGUAAAGAGCUCGUAGGCGGUUAGUCGCGUCGGGAGUGAAAACUCAGGGCUCAACCCUGAGCGUGCUUCCGAUACGGGCUGACUAGAGGUAUGCAGGGGAGAACGGAAUUCCUGGUGUAGCGGUGGAAUGCGCAGAUAUCAGGAGGAACACCGGUGGCGAAGGCGGUUCUCUGGGCAUUACCUGACGCUGAGGAGCGAAAGCAUGGGAGCGAACAGG